UUGACGGGGCCGCACAAGCGGUGAGCAUGUGGUUAAUUCGACGCAACGCGAAGAACCUUACCAGGGCUUGACAUCCCGUGACCGCGUAUGAAAGUACGUUUUCACCCUCGGGUGACAGGGAGACAGGUGGUGCAUGGUUGUCGUCAGCUCGUGUCGUGAGAUGUUGGGUUAAGUCCCGCAACGAGCGCAACCCCUACGUUUAGUUGCUAACAGGUGAAGCUGAGCACUCUAGACGAACUGCCGUUGACAAAACGGAGGAAGGUGGGAUGACGUCAAAUCAUCAUGCCCCUUAUGUUCUGGGCUACACACGUGCUACAAUGGCCGGUACAGACGGAGGCGAAGCCGCGAGGCGGAGCAAAUCCGAAAAAGCCGGUCUCAGUUCGGAUUGCAGGCUGCAAUUCGCCUGCAUGAAGUCGGAAUCGCUAGUAAUCGCAGGUCAGCAUACUGCGGUGAAUACGUUCCCGGGCCUU
rnacentral:rRNA from 1 species